UACAGAGGUCUCAAGCGUUGUUCGGAUUCAUUGGGCGUAAAGGGUGUGUAGGUGGCGCCGUAAGUCGGGUGUGAAAUUUCGGAGCUUAACUCCGAAACUGCAUUCGAUACUGCGGUGCUUGAGGACUGGAGAGGAGACUGGGAUUCAUGGUGUAGCAGUGAAAUGCGUAGAGAUCAUGAGGAAGACCAGUGGCGAAGGCGGGUCUCUGGACAGUUCCUGACACUGAGACACGAAGGCCAGGGGAGCAAACGGG
rnacentral:rRNA from 1 species